rnacentral:rRNA from 1 species
AUGUGUGGCCGCGUACUUUUUGUAGAACGGGCCAACGAGUUACGUUCUGUAGCAAGGUUAAGUGGUUCUGCCACGAAGCCGCAGCGAAAGCGAGUCUGAAUAGGGCGAAUGAGUUGCAGGGCGUAGACCCGAAACCGAGUGAUCUACCCAUGGCCAGUGUGAAGCUUGUUUAAACGCAAGUGGAGGCGCGAACCCACCAAUGUUGAAAAAUUGGGGGAUGAGCUGUGGGUAGCGGUGAAAUGCUAAUCGAACUCGGAUAUAGCUGGUUCUCCCCGAAAUAGCUUUAGGGCUAGCGUCGGAUGAUGAGUCAUGGAGGUAGAGCACUGUUUGGGCUAGGGGCCUUACCAGGUUACCGAACUCAGAUAAACUCCGAAUGCCAUCGACUUUAAUCCGGCAGUCAGACUGCGGGAGAUAAGUUUCGUAGUCGAGAGGGAAACAGCCCAGACCGUCAGCUAAGGUCCCCAAGUACAGACUAAGUGGAAAAGGAUGUGGAAUUGCUUAGACAACCAGGAUGUUGGCUUAGAAGCAGCCACCAUUUAAAGAGUGCGUAAUAGCUCACUGGUCAAGUGAUUCUGCGCCGAAAAUGUAACGGGGCUAAGUCUGUCACCGAAGCUACGGCUUGUCGUAAGACAGGGGUAGGGGAGCGUUCUAAGCAGCGUCGAAGCUGUACCGUAAGGAGCAGUGGAGCGCUUAGAAGAGCGAAUGUUGGCAUGAGUAGCGAGAAGGCAAGUGAGAAUCUUGCCCGCCGAAAACCUAAGGUUUCCUGAGGAAGGCUCGUCCUCUCAGGGUUAGUCGGGACCUAAGCCGAGGCAGAAAUGCGUAGGCGAUGGACAACAGGUUGAUAUUCCUGUACCACCUAACGUCCGCUAUUAGCGAUGGGGUGACGCAGAAGGGUAGGCACAGCGCACCGUUGGUUGUGUGCGUUCAAGCGUUUAGGGAGUGCGGAUAGGCAAAUCCGUCUGCACAUUAUCCUGAGGCGUGAUGAGGAGCGAAAUUUUAGUAGCGAACUGGCUGAUCCCAUGCUGCCAAGAAAAGCCUCUAGUGAGGAUGUCAGGUGCCCGUACCGUAAACCGACACAGGUAGGUGAGGAGAGAAUCCUAAGGCGCGCGGAAGAACCUUCGUUAAGGAACUCGGCAAAUUGACCCCGUAACUUCGGGAGAAGGGGUGCCCCGUUAUCGUGAUACAACUAUGUUGAGCGAGAGGGGGCCGCAGAGAAUAGGCCCAAGCGACUGUUUAGCAAAAACACAGGUCUCUGCGAAGUCGUAAGACGACGUAUAGGGGCUGACGCCUGCCCGGUGCUGGAAGGUUAAGAGGAGAGGUUAGCGCAAGCGAAGCUUUGAAUCUAAGCCCCAGUAAACGGCGGCCGUAACUAUAACGGUCCUAAGGUAGCGAAAUUCCUUGUCGGGUAAGUUCCGACCCGCACGAAAGGCGUAACGACUUGGGCGCUGUCUCAACGAAGGAUCCGGUGAAAUUGUAGUACCUGUGAAGAUGCAGGUUACCCAUGACAAGACGGAAAGACCCCGUGGAGCUUUACUGUAGCCUGAUAUUGGAUUUUGAUAUGGAAUGUACAGGAUAGGUGGGAGACUUGGAAGCCUGGGCGCCAGCCUGGGUGGAGUCACCCGUGGGAUACCACCCUUUUCAUAGCGGAAUUCUAACCGCGAGCCGUUAUCCGGUUCCGGGACAGUGUCAGGUGGGCAGUUUGACUGGGGCGGUCGCCUCCCAAAGAGUAACGGAGGCGCUCAAAGGUUUCCUCAGCGCGGUCGGGAAUCGCGCGUAGAGUGUAAAGGCAGAAGGAAGCUUCACUGCGACACCGACGGGUGGAGCAGGGACGAAAGUCGGACUUAGUGAUCCGGCGGUGCUGCGUGGCAGGGCCGUCGCUCAACGGAUAAAAGCUACCCCGGGGAUAACAGGCUUAUCUCCCCCAAGAGUCCACAUCGACGGGGAGGUUUGGCACCUCGAUGUCGGCUCAUCGCAUCCUGGGGCUGUAUUAGGUCCCAAGGGUUUGGCUGUUCGCCAAUUAAAGCGGUACGUGAGCUGGGUUCAGAACGUCGUGAGACAGUUCGGUCCCUAUCUGUCAUGGGCGUAGGAAAAUUGAAGAGAGCUGUCCCUAGUACGAGAGGACCGGGAUGGACAGACCUCUGGUGUACCAGUUGUCCUGCCAAGGGCACUGCUGGGUAGCUAUGUCUGGACGGGAUAAGCGCUGAAAGCAUCUAAGCGCGAAGCCCCCUCUAAGAUAAGUUUUCCCGCUCGGUUAACGAGGUAAGACCCCAGAGAGAUGAUCUGGUUGAUAGGCCGGAGGUGUAAGGGCAGCAAUGUCUUAAGCUGACCGGUACUAAUAGGUCGAGGACUUAACC